GUUAGGCUAUGUUCUCUGAAAAUAAAAUGGGCCGUAUUGGGCAAACCAGGCUUUGAGCCCAUGGUUUUCUUUACUGAUGGAGACAUGGAGGACAGAUGGGAGAGAAGCGAAAGAAGAGAGAGAUCGAAUUGAAGCAUCCAAUUUGUUUGAAUUGAUGGAUGAUUCCCCUUCUGGCGGCAUGACGUUAGCAGAAUGCCAGGAUUUUAUCCGGAAGAGCUUCCAAAGUAAUCCAACUGUCAAAUUUCUGAAAGAGAAUUUGGAGAAAUCUGGAUGCCGACCAAUUUCAUAAAGGCCGUUCAUUGCCAAGGAAGAUUAACUGGUCGAUUCGCCAGAGGAUUUGGGUGAACUUGCUAAACAAGCUCGGUCGCAAAUCCUCCGAAUCUAAGGAACCGGAGAGGCCG